AUUGAACGCUGGCGGCCGGCCUAACACAUGCAAGUCGAACGAGUGGCGGACGGGUGAGUAAUGUCUGGGAAACUGCCUGGUGGAGGGGGAUAACUACUGGAAACGGUAGCUAAUACCGCAUACCAUCAGAUGUGCCCAGAUGGGAUUCGCUUGUUGGUGGGGUAACGGCUCACCAAGGCGACGAUCCCUAGCUGGUCUGAGAGGAUGACCAGCCACCAUGGAACGUGGACACGGGCCUGACUCCGACGGGAGGCAGCAGUGUGGAAUAUUGCACAUGGGGCGCAAGCCUGAUGCAGCCAUGCAGCGUGUACGAAGAAGGCCUUCGGGUUGUAAAGUACUUUCAGCGGGGAGGCGUUACCCGCAGAAGAAGCACCGGCUAACUCCGUGCCAGCCGCCGCGGUAAUUC
rnacentral:rRNA from 1 species